AGAUCCUUGGAAAUAAAAUCCGGCCCUUGGGAUUUCCAGAGGCCGCUUUUCUCUGCUUUGGCCUCCUCCUCCGCUUUCAUUCUCGUCGCUACUGGUUCCUGGAUUCUCGCUGCUCUGAACGAUGGGCGAAGUUAGUCCCACUAUCGCCAAGGACGUCACCGAAUUGAUUGGUAAGACCCCGUUGGUGUACCUAAACAAUGUUACGACCGGCUGCGUGGCGCGUAUUGCUGCUAAGUUAGAGAUGAUGGAACCCUGCUCCAGCGUCAAAGACAGGAUUGGAUAUAGCAUGAUUACCGAUGCAGAGGAGCAAGGACUUAUCUCGCCAGGAAAGAGUGUCCUGAUCGAACCUACUAGUGGUAAUACCGGCAUAGGGUUGGCCUUCAUUGCAGCUGCAAAGGGUUAUAGGCUCAUACUUACAAUGCCAGCCUCCAUGAGUCUUGAGAGAAGGAUCAUUCUCAAAGCUUUUGGUGCCGAAUUGGUCCUCACGGAUCCAACUUUGGGCAUGAAAGGUGCUGUUCAGAAGGCAGAAGAGUUGGCUGCAAAGACACCCAACUCUUACAUCCUUCAGCAGUUUGAAAAUCCUGCUAACCCAAAGAUUCAUUAUGAGACAACUGGACCAGAGAUCUGGAAAGGAACUGGGGGCAAAAUUGAUGCCCUUGUGUCUGGUAUUGGUACAGGGGGUACGCUUACUGGAUCAGGAAGAUACCUUAAAGAGCAAAAUCCAGACAUCAAGCUAUAUGGUGUGGAACCAGUUGAAAGUGCAGUUUUAUCUGGAGGAAAACCUGGUCCCCAUAAAAUCCAGGGUAUAGGAGCUGGCUUUAUUCCUGGUGUUUUGGAUGUCAAUCUCAUUGAUGAAGUUAUCCAAGUCUCAAGUGAUGAAGCGAUUGAAACAGCAAAGCUUCUAGCCUUGAAAGAAGGGCUGUUGGGUGGAAUAUCAUCUGGAGCUGCUGCAGCUGCUGCUAUUAGGAUUGCACAGAGACCAGAAAAUGAGGGGAAACUUAUAGUUGUAUGUAUGCAGACAACCGGAACGGAAAAAGACCUGGUUCCACACACAUGAGACACGAAGAAGGUAUGGGACGACCAGUUCACCACGGAAAGCGAAUUCGAUCCUAUAGUCGUCUUCUUUGUUUGAAAAAUGCGCAGUGGAAAGGGAUGCUAGUCGGCUCGGCGAAGUUGUAGGCCCCAAUAGAUCAGAUCAAGAGUGAUUCCUCACCUAUCCUGUCAGGGGCCAAGUCGAACGCUCGAGUAUAGAUUCCCUAUGCUCAUGUGAACGGCCGGCCCGUAGAUCUAAAAGGAUCCAUCCAUAGGCCUGACCGGAAAGUCUCGGCUAUCCAAGAAGUCCAAGGUUGUUUUCCCAAGCUUUGGUGAGCGUUAUCUUUCGACAUCCCUCUUCCAAUCUAUAAAGAAAGAAACUGAGAGCAUGGUCUUUGAACCCUGAGGAUGAUUUUUUCUGUCAUCAUUGUGGAAUUUCCAUCUCGAUAAUUUUAUGAGAGUGAUUUUACAGAAGGUUCUUGCAUGGGUGGUUAUACCAGAAUAAAAGUAUAAGUGGAUGAAUUCAAGACUGAGUCUCGGACAUUGAAGUUAAGGAUUUACUGUAAUUUCCUUGACUUUGUUGGUACGCAAUAAGGCACUUGCUUUACCUGCCUUGGUUAAUUGGCUAUAGUAUUUCAAUUGUAAGGGCACAAGAAGUGCAUAAAUUUGCCAGUAAAAUCUAUCAUUACUAACUAUUAUUUGUCA